GAUGAACGCUGGCGGCGUGCCUAAUACAUGCAAGUCGAACGCUGAAGCUUGGUGCUCGCACCGAGCGGAUGAGUUGCGAACGGGUGAGUAACGCGUAGGUAACCUGCCUCUUAGCGGGGGAUAACUAUUGGAAACGAUAGCUAAUACCGCAUCAAAGUCGAUAUCGCAGGAAAUUGAUUUGAAACGUGCAAAUGCAUCACUAAGAGAUGGACCUGCGUUGUAUUAGCUAGUUGGUGAGGUAACGGCCCACCAAGGCGGCGAUACAUAGCCGACCUGAGAGGGUGGUCGGCCACACUGGGACUGGGACACGGCCCAGACUCCUACGGGGGGCAGCAGUAGGGGAUCUUCGGCAAUGGGGGCAACCCUGACCGAGCAACGCCGCGUGAGUGAAGAAGGUUUUCGGAUCGUAAAGCUCUGUUGUAAGAGAAGAACGAGUGUGAGAGUAGAAAGUUCACGCUGUGACGGUAACUUAACAGAAAGGGACGGCUAACUACGUG
rnacentral:rRNA from 1 species